rnacentral:miRNA from 1 species
ACAUGGUCUGUUACAAGGGA